AUACGGAGGGUGCAAGCGUUGUUCGGAAUUAUUGGGCGUAAAGCGCGUGUAGGCGGCUUGGUAAGUCAGGUGUGAAAGCCCUUAGCUCAACUAAGGAAAGUCAUCUGAAACUGCCAGGCUUGAGUACGGGAGAGGAGAGUGGAAUUCCCGGUGUAGAGGUGAAAUUCGUAGAUAUCGGGAGGAACACCCGUGGCGAAGGCGACUCUCUGGACCGAUACUGACGCUGAGACGCGAAAGCGUGGGGAGCAAACAGGAUUAGAUACCCUAGUAGUCC
rnacentral:rRNA from 1 species